GAGAGGAGAGACAGUCUGAAGUGAACAGAGCUGCUAGGCAUUCUGCCUUCUCCACCUGGUGUUCAGCCUGAGUUCGAAACUACCAGCCUAAAAAGAAAAUCACAAUUUGUGAGAAUACAAACAAUAGGAUUGUGGGUAUUUCCUAACUGAUUUUAAGGCUUUGCAUCAUUUGAAAUAUACAGUCACCCAAAGUUUGAUGUUGGUCACACAAAUAUUCCAAAGUGGAAUCUUUCAUUAUCUUUUCAUACAGCAGUGUGGCGACUUUACACAGGAUUUUAUUUUCAAUCCAAAAUUGAAUGAAUGAUCUGGAUGCCCUACUGAGGUCCUGAGUCGUGCAGGAGACGCCGAAUCACUCGGCUACAGACAGGCAGGUCUGCCCACGCCCUACCGAGGUCCCGAGUGGCACCGAACAUGCCGAAUCAGCCCGCUGCA